AAUCAACGCUGGCGGCGCGCUUAACACAUGCAAGUCGCACGAGAAAGUGGAGCAAUCCAUGAGUACAGUGGCGUACGGGUGAGUAACACGUGGGUAAUCUACCUCUUAGUGGGGAAUAACUCUGGGAAACCGGAGCUAAUACCGCAUAAGCCUGGAAAGGGAAAGCAAUCAAAUGCGCUGAGAGAGGAGCCCGCGGCCGAUUAGCUAGUUGGUAGGGUAAAAGCCUACCAAGGCAAUGAUCGGUAGCCGGCCUGAGAGGGCACACGGCCACACUGGCACUGAAACACGGGCCAGACUCCUACGGGAGGCAGCAGUGGGGAAUCUUGCACAAUGGGGGCAACCCUGAUGCAGCGACGCCGCGUGAGCGAUGAAGCCCUUCGGGU
rnacentral:rRNA from 1 species